rnacentral:rRNA from 1 species
CUACGGGGGGCUGCAGUGGGGAAUAUUGCACAAUGGGCGCAAGCCUGAUGCAGCAACGCCGCGUGAACGAAGAAGGUUUUCGGAUCGUAAAGUUCUUUUCUUGGGGAAGAAACCAUGACGGUACCCAAGGAAUAAGCACCGGCUAACUACGUGCCAGCAGCCGCGGGAAUACGUAGGGUGCAAGCGUUAUCCGGAAUCACUGGGCGUAAAGGGUGCGUAGGCGGUUGUACAAGUCAGAAGUGAAAGGCAAUGGCUCAACCAUUGUAAGCUUUUGAAACUGUAAGACUUGAAUGCAGGAGAGGUAAGUGGAAUUCCUAGUGUAGCGGUGAAAUGCGUAGAUAUUAGGAGGAACACCAGUGGCGAAGGCGACUUACUGGACUGUUAUUGACGCUGAGGCACGAAAGCGUGGGGAGCGAACAGGAUUAGAUACCCCUGUAGUC